UUUCACCGUCGUUUGUCGUCAUUUCCGCUGUCGUUUUAUUCCUUUCUCCCCACCACAAAGAAACCCUGAUCGUGCCAAAAUAAUUAAUACUAAAAUAUAAAACCCCCGUGUAUUUAGAUCAGAAGGGGCGGCGGCAACUGGAAGAGCGUGAUCGGACGUCCCGUUCCGUUCAGGCGGGAGGCGGCGGUAUCUUUUCCGUACAGGGGAAAAGGACGGUUCCUUUUGAUGUUUUUGAUGGGCGAUCUCCGAGAUUGCUCGCCUGAACCAAACUUCGUGUCGUCACGAGACAGAUCUUCACCGUCACCGUCGAAUCAAAAGGAGAUUAGUGCGGGGUAUUGGAGAAAGGCGGAGGAAGCGACGCAGGGGAUCAUAGCCAUGUCCAGCCAACUGUUGUUUCAGAAGAGAGAAGAAAAGCGGUUAUUGUACGUUCAGAGAUUGAUUAGAAGCUAUCUUGGUUGCGAGGUAUUUCCAUUUGGGUCAGUGCCCUUGAAGACCUAUCUUCCUGAUGGGGAUAUUGAUUUAACAGCCUUUGGUGGCCUAAACCUUGAGGAGGCUAUGGUUAAUGAUGUGUGUUCUGUCCUUGAAAGAGAAGAUCAUAACACUGCUGCUGAGUUUGUGGUGAAGGAUGUCCAGUUAAUUCGAGCUGAGGUUAAGCUUGUAAAGUGUCUAGUGCAGAACAUUGUGGUGGAUAUCUCAUUCAAUCAGUUAGGGGGGCUAUCUACCUUGUGCUUUCUUGAGCAAGUUGAUCGUCUAAUUGGAAAAGAUCAUCUAUUUAAACGUAGUAUUAUACUGAUUAAGGCUUGGUGCUAUUACGAGAGCCGUAUUCUUGGGGCUCAUCACGGCUUGAUUUCUACAUAUGGUUUGGAAACAUUGGUGCUCUACAUUUUUCAUCUAUUCCACUCAUCCCUUGAUGGCCCUUUGGCGGUUUUAUACAAGUUUUUGGAUUACUUUAGCAAAUUUGAUUGGGAAAAAUACUGCGUCAGUUUGAAUGGUCCGAUCCAUUUAUCCUCCCUGCCAGAUAUUGUGGUUGAGACGCCUGAAAAUGGUGGAGGAGAUUUACUGCUUAGCAAUGAUUUUCUCAGGGAAUGUGUGGAAAUGUUCUCAGUUCCAUCAAGGGGAUUUGAGACUAAUUCACGGACAUUCCCUCAAAAGCAUCUAAACAUAGUAGAUCCUUUAAGAGAAAACAAUAAUCUUGGUCGCAGUGUGAGCAAAGGGAACUUCUACCGAAUAAGAAGCGCUUUCACUUAUGGGGCUCGGAACCUAGGGCAGAUUCUUUCCCAGCCAGAAGAAAGAAUUGGAGAUGAACUUCUUAAGUUUUUCUCGAACACCCUUGAUUGGCAUGGAAAUGGGCUAUGGCCUAAUGUUCAAGAUCCCGCUCCAUUGUCUAUGUAUAGAGGAUUUGGUGCAACAUCACCAGCUUCAGGUACAGAGUCAUGUCAAGAAGAUCAAACCCUUUAUGAGUCGGAUUCUUCAAAUUCAAGUACCGUGACUGGGAAUUAUAGAUCUGAUUUAGAGGGAUCAUUGCACAAAGUUAAUAAUGGUGAUGUGUUUGGUAGGGAAGCAAAUUUUAGUAGAACCUUUUGUGAGCCGGAGGGUUCUGCAAAUUCGGUAUGUGUUUCAGAAAUUCGUCACACGGGGGAUGCUACAGACCUGGCAAUCUCCAAAAUUCAAGGUCUUGUAAUUUCAAAUAAUGCGCAUAAAUCCCCUCCAAGUGCAGAGGACAGUUUUUCCUCAUCAGGUCAUGUAAGUGUAAGGCAUGCACCUCAUCUCUAUUUCUGUAACUCGUCUUUGGAUAAUGGGGAAAUGAGAAAUGGGAAUUUGGAAUAUAAACACCCCGAAAAUUCUGGCUCUACUGAAAAAAAUGCAAGUUGUGCUAUUCUUCCAGCGGGCAGUGAGGAGAUGGGUGCAAAUGUACAUAGUGAUCACAGCGUGAAUCAGUUGUCAUCUAGUCUAGGGGUUCAGUCUCCUUUUGGCCGGAAAAACCAUCCAUUGAUUUCAAAUCUUGCUUGGUCAUCUGAGGAUCUAUAUCCUGGGCAUUCUGGUUAUCCAGCUUUCCGCAGUAGUGUCGGAAGUCAGGAAGUUUUGAGCUCAUUGUCUGAUCUUUCUGGGGAUUACGAUGCAAACAUUCGCAGUUUGAGUUCUGGCCAGUGGUGCUAUGAUUGUUCCCUAAGUGCAUCCGUUCCUUCAAUUUCUUCACCUUUGAUUUCUAAGCUUCAGAGGAAGAACUCAUGGGAUGUAGUACGCAAGUCAGUGCAAUUUAGGCGAAAUGCAAUUUCCCCAAUGAAUGCCAACAGUGUUGUCCCACAACAAGCCUAUCCCAUGAACCCACCAGUUUUACCUGGUUCCAGCUUUGGAAUGGAAGAAAUGCCAAAACCUCGAGGAACAGGGACAUACUUCCCCAAUCCCAGCACGACUUAUUACAAUGAUAGGCCCUCGACACCCAGGGGAAGAAACCCAGCUCUGGCAAGAUCACCUCGCAACAAUGGCCAGGCCAUCACACCCCCCAGAGCCAAAUUCACCACAGAGGAGCUGUGACGUGGCACAAAUACAGACAGUGAAUCAAGGUGCUGGAAAAUCUGUGUCGUCUGAACUCCGACAUUCUGCUUCUGAAAAAGCAUUAACCCAUAAUGCCAAUGGCUCAUUGCAUCGACCAGAUAGGUUUGUAGAAUUUGGGUCAAUUGGGGCUUUACCUUUGGUGCGAGCCUCCACAGAAAGUAGCAAGUCGCAUAAUCGUGGUUCUCCUAAUGCUCAAAACUCAAGUGCCAGUCAGCUACAAUUAGGAAAUCGAAGGCUAAAAUCUGCUGCAAGCAUGGACCAAGACAGGAUACUUGUACAAUCAUUCCAUUUAAAGAACGAAGAGGAUUUCCCACCUUUAUCCAUCUGAAAACAACAAAGAGAAACGGAUCAAUCUUAAUUUAUACAGUUGAAAAGUUUGGAAGAACAGUGAAGACAGUAAAUGCUAACAAAGAACGCCUGGAGCCUCAGCUUGUGUGAAUAUGGCUGUUUGAUAGCCAUUCCGAAGCUAUUUUUCAUGUAUGGAGUCGGAUUAGUGUUGUGUGGUUAGAAAGGCGUAUAUGUACAGUUCGACUAACCCUCGUAGCUGUAUGUUUUAAUGGUGAGUUACUGAUGUAUAGGAUUGUGGAAUGAUCCCUUGGUUUUGAUAUCCCAGCCUCUAGUUUUGAUAACACAGAUAGUGAGUUGCCUGAUUGCUGAUGUAACUUAUACUGC